AAUAGACCCGAAACCGGGCGAUCUAUCCAUGGCCAGGGUGAAGGUUGAGUAACAUCAACUGGAGGCCCGCACCCAAGUAUGUUGAAAAAUGCUGGGAUGAGCUGUGGAUCGGAGUGAAAGGCUAAUCAAGCCCGGAGAUAGCUGGUUCUCCUCGAAAGCUAUUUAGGUAGCGCCUCACGUAUCACCGCCGGGGGUAGAGCACUGUUUCGGCUAGGGGCCCAUCCCGGGUUACCAACCCGAGGCAAACUCCGAAUACCGGUGAGUGCAGCGUGGGAGACACACAGCGGGUGCUAACGUCCGUUGUGAAAAGGGCAACAACCCAGACCGUCAGCUAAGGUCCCCAAAUGCUGGUUAAGUGGGAAACGAUGUGGGAAGGCGAAGACAGCUAGGAGGUUGGCUUAGAAGCAGCCAUCCUUUAAAGAAAGCGUAAUAGCUCACUAGUCGAGUCGGCCUGCGCGGAAGAUGUAACGGGGCUAAACCAGCUACCGAAGCUACGGGUGAGCGUGCAUCACUUAACGCUAUUCGCUUGGCGUCGCGAAGCGACGCCCAAGCGCUUCCCGAACGUUGAGUCGGGAAGUAGACAGGAUGAGUGGCGUUAAGGAUGCACGCUCGCGGUAGAGGAGCGUCGUGUAGGCCGAUGAAGGUCCAUUGAGAAGUGGGCUGGAGGUAUCACGAGUGCGAAUGCUGACAUGAGUAACGACAAGGGAUGUGAAAACCAUCCCCGCCGGAAGACCAAGGGUUUCUGUUCGACGUCAAUCGGAGCAGAGUGAGUCGGCCCCUAAGGCGAGGCCGAAAGGCGUAGUCGAUGGGAAACGGGUUAAUAUUCCCGUACCUUGCGUGAUUGCGAUGGGGGGACGAAGAAGGCUAGGUGAGCCGGGCGUUGGUCGUCCCGGUGAAAGUGCGUAGGCCGAGGGCUCAGGCAAAUCCGGGUCCUCAAGGCCGAGACACGAGACGAACCGCCCACGGGCGGGAAGUCAUCGAUGCCCCGCUUCCAGGAAAAGCCUCUAAGCUUCAGAUCACGCAAGACCGUACCCCAAACCGACACAGGUGGUCAGGGUGAGAAUCCUAAGGCGCUUGAGAGAACUCGGGUGAAGGAACUAGGCAAAAUGGUGCCGUAACUUCGGGAGAAGGCACGCCGGCGUCAGGUGAAGCCCCGUGCGGGUGGAGCCGAGGCCGGCCGAAGAUACCAGGUGGCUGCAACUGUUUAUUAAAAACACAGCACUCUGCUAACGCGUAAGCGGACGUAUAGGGUGUGACGCCUGCCCGGUGCCGGAAGGUUAAGUGAUGGUGUUAGCGCAAGCGAAGCACUUGAUCGAAGCCCCGGUAAACGGCGGCCGUAACUAUAACGGUCCUAAGGUAGCGAAAUUCCUUGUCGGGUAAGUUCCGACCUGCACGAAUGGCGUAAUGAUGGCCACGCUGUCUCCACCCGAGACUCAGUGAAAUUGAAAUCGCAGUGAAGAUGCUGUGUACCCGCGGCUAGACGGAAAGACCCCGUGAACCUUUACUAUAGCUUCACACUGGACGCUGAUGUUGCUUGUGUAGGAUAGCUGGGAGGCUA
rnacentral:ncRNA from 1 species